AUUGAACGCUGGCGGCAGGCUUAACACAUGCAAGUCGAGCGGAGACUUCGGUCUUAGCGGCGAACGGGUGAGUAACACCUAGGAAUCUGCCUAUUAGUGGGGGAUAACGUGUGGAAACGCACGCUAAUACCGCAUACGUCCUACGGGAGAAAGCAGGGGAUCUUCGGACCUUGCGCUAAUAGAUGAGCCUAGGCCGGAUUAGCUAGUUGGUGGGGUAAAGGCCUACCAAGGCGACGAUCUGUAGCUGGUCUGAGAGGAUGGCCAGCCACACUGGAACUGAGACACGGUCCAGACUCCUACGGGAGGCAGCAGUGGGGAAUAUUGGACAAUGGGGGCAACCCUGAUCCAGCCAUGCCGCGUGUGUGAAGAAGGCCUCGGUUGUAAG
rnacentral:rRNA from 1 species